UUCGGUGUCUGAGGCACCCCUGGGUGAGGUUCAUCAGCUCUCAGACCUCCAGGAGCAGAGGGAAGGGAAGCAUCUCUCCAAGAGGAUCCACGUGAGUGGCAGUGAGGCCAUCCCAGGAUGUGGGGAGCAUUCCCUGCUGGAUGGGUUUAGGAGAUGCCAGCCCACCACCAAUCCAGCAGCACCAAUCCCAAGGAUUUUCCUCAUAAAUUGGAUUAAUUAAUUCUGUCCAGGCCUGCCAACAUUAGCACCUGGAUCCACACCUUGAUUUUUCUUCUCAGAUGCUCCGGAGUUUCCCCUUGCUCCAGCCAGGGGGCUCUGCCAGGGACCCCCAGCACCGGAGCCAGCCCCUGCCGUGAGGAUGCACUCACGUUUCCCGGGAAGGAGCGAUGGGAUGCAGGAUGCUGCAGCUCCGAGGA